UACGGAGGGUGCAAGCGUUAUCCGGAUUCACUGGGUUUAAAGGGUGCGUAGGUGGGCAGGUAAGUCAGUGGUGAAAUCUCUGGGCUUAACCCAGAAACUGCCGUUGAUACUAUCUGUCUUGAAUGUAGUGGAGGUGAGCGGAAUAUGUCAUGUAGCGGUGAAAUGCUUAGAUAUGACAUAGAACACCCAUUGCGAAGGCAGCUCGCUACACUAUUAUUGACACUGAGGCACGAAAGCGUGGGGAUCAAACAGG
rnacentral:rRNA from 1 species